UACGGAGGGUGCAAGCGUUAUCCGGAUUCACUGGGUUUAAAGGGUGCGUAGGUGGGCAGGUAAGUCAGUGGUGAAAUCUCCGGGCUUAACCCGGAAACUGCCAUUGAUACUAUAGAUCUUGAAUAUCCUGGAGGUGAGCGGAAUAUGUCAUGUAGCGGUGAAAUGCUUAGAUAUGACAUAGAACACCAAUUGCGAAGGCAGCUCACUACGGGAUCAUUGACACUGAGGCACGAAAGCGUGGGGAUCAAACAGG
rnacentral:rRNA from 1 species